GGGCCUGCACAAGCGGUGGAGUAUGUGGCUUAAUUCGAUGCAACGCGAAGAACCUUACCUGGCCUUGACAUGUAGUGGCCCGGGUGCGAAAUCACCCUUUUCUUCGGAACUGCUACACAGGUGCUGCAUGGCUGUCGUCAGCUCGUGUCGUGAGAUGUUGGGUUAAGUCCCGCAACGAGCGCAACCCCCGUGUUCUGUUGCCACCCGGAUGAGAAUCCGGAGCACUCUGGACAGACUGCCUGGUUUAACCAGGAGGAAGGUGGGGAUGACGUCAAGUCAGUAUGGCCCUUACGGCCAGGGCUGCACACGUACUACAAUGCCCGGUACAAUGGGAUGCGAGACCGCGAGGUGGAGCAAAUCCUAAAAACCGGGCCCAGUUCAGAUUGUAGGCUGCAACUCGCCUACAUG
rnacentral:rRNA from 1 species